ACACAGGAUAAAUAGGUGACUCCUCAAAGCUGGGAGAAAACAUUUGAGGCGUCAGAGCUCAGAAAGGACAACUGAACAGACGUGUGUUGUUGAAGGACAAACAUUGAAACCAUGAAGACUGUGAUGGUGGCUCUUUUGAUGGUGUUGGUUGUCAGCCACAGUGAAGCCUUGAAGUGUAAAUGUGGAGGGAAGCGUAGAUGCUCAGGUUCUACAGAGACUUGCCAUGGUUCAAAUCCAGUCUGUGCCAGCAUCACCUUCACUGGUCCCAGUCCUGGUUACUUCAGGGGCUGUUAUGAUAGAAAUGACUGCAGAAUGUUAAGCAGUUCACCAGUAUCCACGGGUUACUGCUGCAGUACUGAUCUGUGCAACUGAACAAUGAUCAUCACUGAACAACAGUGCACUGUAGUGUUGACUGCAUUGUCCAAAUAAACUUCACUGGGAAUAACGGUU